GCCUGGGUGGCUCAGUCGGUUGAGCGUCCGACUUUGGCUCAGGUCAUGAUCUCGUGGUUUGUGAGUUCGAGCCUCACUCUGUGCU
rnacentral:tRNA from 1 species